CACAAGCGGUGGAGCAUGUGGUUAAUUCGAAGCAACGCGAAGAACCUUACCAGGCCUUGACAUGCAGAGAACUUUCCAGAGAUGGAUUGGUGCCUUCGGGAACUCUGACACAGGUGCUGCAUGGCUGUCGUCAGCUCGCGUCGUGAGAUGUUGGGUUAAGUCCCGUAACGAGCGCAACCCUUGUCCUUAGUUACCAGCACGUUAUGGUGGGCACUCUAAGGAGACUGCCGGUGACAAACCGGAGGAAGGUGGGGAUGACGUCAAGUCAUCAUGGCCCUUACGGCCUGGGCUACACACGUGCUACAAUGGUCGGUACAAAGGGUUGCCAAGCCGCGAGGUGGAGCUAAUCCCAUAAAACCGAUCGUAGUCCGGAUCGCAGUCUGCAACUCGACUGCGUGAAGUCGGAAUCGCUAGUAAUCGUGAAUCAGAAUGUCACGGUGAAUACGUUCCCGGGCCUU
rnacentral:rRNA from 1 species